rnacentral:rRNA from 1 species
UACGUAGGGUGCGAGCGUUGUCCGGAAUUACUGGGCGUAAAGAGCUCGUAGGCGGUUUGUCGCGUCUGCUGUGAAAACUCGGGGCUUAACUCCGGGCCUGCAGUGGGUACGGGCAGACUAGAGUGCAGAAGGGGGCAACUGGAAUUCCUGGUGUAGCGGUGAAAUGCGCAGAUAUCAGGAGGAACACCGGUGGCGAAGGCGGGUCUCUGGGCCGAUACUGACGCUGAGGAGCGAAAGCGUGGGGGAGCGAACAGG